rnacentral:rRNA from 1 species
GACGAACGCUGGCGGCGUGCCUAAUACAUGCAAGUCGAGCGGACUUAAAAAGCUUGCUUUUUAAGUUAGCGGCGGACGGGUGAGUAACACGUGGGCAACCUGCCUGUAAGACUGGGAUAACUUCGGGAAACCGGAGCUAAUACCGGAUAAUCCUUUUCUACUCAUGUAGAAAAGCUGAAAGACGGUUUACGCUGUCACUUACAGAUGGGCCCGCGGCGCAUUAGCUAGUUGGUGAGGUAACGGCUCACCAAGGCGACGAUGCGUAGCCGACCUGAGAGGGUGAUCGGCCACACUGGGACUGAGACACGGCCCAGACCCCUACGGGAGGCAGCAGUAGGGAAUCUUCCGCAAUGGACGAAAGUCUGACGGAGCAACGCCGCGUGAGUGAUGAAGGUUUUCGGAUCGUAAAACUCUGUUGUUAGGGAAGAACAAGUACGAGAGUAACUGCUCGUACCUUGACGGUACCUAACCAGAAAGCCACGGCUAACUACGUG